UCGAGCGGAUUGAUGGGAGCUUGCUCCCAUCAGUCAGCGGCGGACGGGUGAGUAACACGUGGGUAACCUGCCUGUAAGACUGGGAUAACUCCGGGAAACCGGGGCUAAUACCGGAUAACUCAUUUCCUCGCAUGAGGAAAUGUUGAAAGGUGGCUUUUAGCUAUCACUUACAGAUGGACCCGCGGCGCAUUAGCUAGUUGGUGAGGUAACGGCUCACCAAGGCGACGAUGCGUAGCCGACCUGAGAGGGUGAUCGGCCACACUGGGACUGAGACACGGCCCAGACUCCUACGGGAGGCAGCAGUAGGGAAUCUUCCGCAAUGGACGAAAGUCUGACGGAGCAACGCCGCGUGAGUGAUGAAGGUUUUCGGAUCGUAAAACUCUGUUGUUAGGGAAGAACAAGUACCGUUCGAAUAGGGCGGUACCUUGACGGUACCUAACCAGAAAGCCACGGCUAACUACGUGCCAGCAGCCGCGGUAAUACGUAGGUGGCAAGCGUUGUCCGGAAUUAUUGGGCGUAAAGCGCGCGCAGGUGGUUUCUUAAGUCUGAUGUGAAAGCCCACGGCUCAACCGUGGAGGGUCAUUGGAAA
rnacentral:rRNA from 1 species